rnacentral:tRNA from 1 species
CGCACCAUGGUCUAGUGGUUAUCACAUCUUUUUAAAACGCAUGAGGUCCCCAGAUCGAGCCUGGGUGGUGUCA